AAAAAAAAGUUAAUAACCUGAAGUCAGGGGUUUGAGACCAGCCUGGCCAACAUGGUGAAACCCCAUCUCUACUAAAAAUACAAAAAUUAGCCGGGCAUGGUGGCGCACACCUGUAGUCCCAGCUACUUGGGAGGCUGAGGCAGGAGAAUCACUCGAACCUGGGAGGUAGAUGUUGCAGUGAGCUGAGACUGUGCCACUGCACUACAGCCUGGGCAACAGAGUAAGACUCCAUCUCAAAACAAACAAACAAACAAAAUGUAAAUAAAUAUCUUUUAAAGGUUUUUAAAAUUAUUCUUUCCAGAAUUACAUAUUUGGGAUUAUGAUUAUCAGGGUUUCAACCUUCAUGAUCAUGGCAUUUGGGAUUAUGUAUUUCCGGAUUAUGAGUGGCUCCCCAAAAGGCUACAUAAUACAGAAUUCCACUUAUAUAAAAUCCUUGAAAUGACAUAAUUAUAGGAAUGGAGAACAUAUCAGUGGUUGACAGAGGUGAAGGAGAAAACAGAAGUGGCAGGGAAGUAGACGUGGCUAUAAAAGGACAGCAAGAGGGGUCCUUGUAGUGAUGGAAAUUUUCUGUAUCUCCACUGUGUCCAUGUCAGCAUCUUGGUUGUGAUACCAUACUAGAAUCUUACAAGAUGGUAUCACUGGAAGAAACUAGGCAAAGGGUACACAGGUUCUCUCUGUAUUAUUUCUUAUGAUUGCAUGCCAAUCUACAACUGAUUUCAAAAUUGAAAGUUUAACCACAGCAAAAAAGCAAUCAGAAAGAAAAGUCACAUUAUAUCCAAAAGAAUGACAUUUGGAAUGACAAAAGAUUUCUCCCCAGUAGUAACAAAAGUAAAAAGAUAGUAGACUAAUUCUUCAAAGUACUGGGGGAAAAAAAGACACACCUCAACUUAGAAUUAUGUACAUAUAAAAUCAACUUUAUAGAAUGAAUUGAAAAUACUUUUGAUAAAUGUAAACUAAGAGUUUGCCAUCAACAGAUGUCACUAGAGGAACAUCAAAAGAUGUGCUUCAGAAAGAAGGAAAAUUAUCCUAGGUGAAAGGUCUGAGAUGUGAGAAUAAUAAUGAAUAAACAAACACUUCUAACAUAUAAAGUAAAUCUAAACCAACAAUUAUCUGUACAAAAACAGUAAUAAUCACAAGGUCUAAUUUUAAGGUGAAAAAUCACAAGCUAUAACUAAAAUACUGAAUGAUUUUAACACGAAAGUUGCAAGAGGGGUGACUUGGAGAGUUCCAAGACUCUCAAUUAGAGAGGAAGAUAAAGAUAUAACAUUAUACUUUUUAAGUACGGAUGUAAUAUUCCAAGGAAAUUCCCCCAAAACAAAGAAGAGGGGGCAGAGGGGUGAGGGUGGAAUUAAAAAACAUUUUUGAUUCCAAAAGAAAAAAAAAGAGUGGAAGAAAAAAACAUAAAAAGCACAAAAUAAGGUGGUAAGGAAUAAAUGCAAAUACAUCAGUACACAUAAAAAUGCACUCAACUAACCAGUUAAAGUUCAGAUUAGAUUUAAAAAUAAUUGGCCGGGUGCAGUGGCUCAUACCUGUAACCCCAGCACUUUGGGAGGCUGAGGUGGGCAGAUCAGAAGGUCAGGAGUUCCAGACCAGCCUGGCCAAUAUGGUGAAAACCCUGUUACUAAAAAAAAGAAAAAAAAAUUAGCCAGGCCUGGUGGCAAGCACCUGUAGUCCCAGCUACUCAGGAGGCUGAGGCAGUAGAAUCGCUUGAACCCAGGAGGUGGAGGUUGCAGUAAGCUGAGAUUGCGCCACUGCACUCCAGCCUGGGUGACAGAGUGAGACUCCGUCUCAAAAUAGUAAUAAUAAUCAUCAUCAUCAUCAUCUAGCUAUAUGCUGUUUAUGAGACACACUAAAACAUAAGGACAUUCAUCAACAAAGCAGGAUAGAAAAAUCUAGCUAAACUAUGCGCAAUGCUAUCAAAAAAUAAAAACGUCAAUGAAAACAAAUUCCCAGAAAAAUGUAAUAAAAAUGACUAACAUUAAAGAAAUAGAAAGGCUAAUAAUUCUAUAAUUUUUGAAACCUAAUCAAUAGUUAAGAAAUUUUCUCACAAAAAAAUGCAAAGUUCAGACAAUUUUAUAGGCAAGCUCUAUCCAGCUUUUAAGGAACAGAUUAAUUUAAAUGUUUUUCUUUUCUUCCAAGAGAACAGACAGAGGGAAGGAGAGAGAGACAGCACUCCUUAACUUAUUCUUAGUAUCCACAAUCUAUUAAGUAUAAAAAGACAACAAUCUACUACUAUAUAAAUGGGCAAAAGACAUGAAACAAGCUUUUCAGAGAGCAAUAAGGAAUGAAUAAUAAACAUGGGAAAAGAUGCUCAGCCUCAUUAACAUUUAGGAAAUACAAAGUUAACUUCCACUCUAGUCAAAAUGGAGUAGCAGAGGCACGAUUUACCUUCUCCACCUUAAAUUAAAACCUAUAUAAAAUGUAUACAAGGAAGUUUUUCAGAUGUUAGACAAAAGCCAGUGCAGGACAGUGACUCCUGAGAGAUGGAAAACAAAGAAAGCCCUAUAAUUGCGCAAGCUUCUACAUGGGGUUUCUAAGCUGUGGCACUAAGGCUAGGGAAGGGAACCUCCCUGGGUAGAGAAUUUAGGGGAGCCAAGGUAAGAUUUGCAGGGCAGAAUAUUGGGUUUCCCUUAAGUCUUCAGCUAAACACCAAGCAGUGUAUGCAUGUGAGGUAAGGAACAGGAGAUACAACUGGGAGCUCAAUAGGGUUCAGAAUAUUUCAUGUUCCCAACAGACAGAAUGCAGAAACCGUGUAACCAGGAAGAUUAUUCAGAACGGUAUUACCUUCGUAGUGGGUCAAAUUAGCCCUAAACUAAAGGCUGUCCCAGUCCUGUCUUAUUAAGCUUAAAAGCAAGCUAUAAAAUGAUCGGAUUGUUUCCAAGUAACUUUAUGUCCCCAAACAGAGUUCAAGAUACUUAAAAGAACUCCAGCACCCAAUAUUAAAAACAGAAAUUACCAGGCAUGUAAUGAAGGAAGUUACAAUCCAAUAUGGGCAGGGUGGGGGUUGGGGUAGGGUGGGAAUCAAUCAAUAGAAACAGACCAGAAAUGAUGCAGAUGACAGAAUGGGCAAGCACACUGAAAGAGCUAUUAUCAAUACACUCCAGAUGUUGAAAAAAAAAAAAAUAGAGGAAGGCAUGAGCAUGUGAAGGAGACACAUGGGAGAUAAAGACCCAGACAGAAAUUCUAAAGACUAAAAAUAUGUCGGAGGUGAAAAAUACCUGGAUACGAUUAAAAGGAAAUUAGAUACUUUAGACAGAAAGAUUAAUAAACAAUGAGGACACAGCACUGGAAAGUACCCAACAUGAAACACAGAGAGAAAAAGGCUUUUUAAAAAGCUGCACAGAAUCAGCACACUGGGAGAAAAUUCUGAGGGGCCUAACGUACAUCCAAGUCAUCAGAGCCCCAGGAGAAGCAUGAGAGGAGCAGAGAGAAAACCAUAACAGAAGAAAAAAUGCCCCCCAAUUUCCAAAUUCUAUGAAAACCAUAAACCCACAGGUAAAAUAGCUGCAGCAGCAGAAACGUGAAAAAAAAACUACAGCAAGCACAUCAUAAUCAAACUUCUUACAACCAGUGACAGAAAACCUUAAAAGCAGCCAGGAAAAAAAUGACAUCUUACACAUGGAAGAGCAGAGAUAACAGUAAUCUUGCUGGAAAUCACAGGUAGAUACCACUUAACAUCCACUAGGUUGGCAAAUUUUUAAGUCUGAACUUAAGUGUUGGAGAUGCUAUGAAACAAAGGUAACUCACAGUGCCAAGAGAGGUAUAAACUAGUACAGUCACUUCAGAACACAAAUUUGGCAUUAUUUUAUCAAUAUAUCAAGC
rnacentral:lncRNA from 10 species